UAAGAACAGGAUCAGGGAAUGGGAAUGGGGACAGGAUUGGGAAAAGGACCAGGACUGGAACAGGAACUGGGAAGGGGGGAACCAGGAAGAGGAACAGGGUUGGAAUCAGGAAGGGGAAUGGCAAUGGGAACAGGGAGUCAUUUCCUGACAUACACCCCCAACCUGGUAUCUCCCCUCACCCCCAGAGAUGGGUCUGGGGAUCUGUCCUUUUGUGGAGCCUGUAAUGCCACCACACAGAGAUCAGGACUGUUAGCAGCAAUGGAAGCCUUCAAAUCUCCAUCCAGCCUGGCUUACAAAGAGAAAUGUGAUGCACAGCCGGUUUCUGUCACUAUCCCAGCCUCUCCCUUCAUGCAGAAGCUUGGAUGUGGCACUGGAGUCAACGUCUACUUGAUGAAAAGAUCUCCCAGAGGUUUGUCGCAUUCCCCGUGGGCUGUGAAGAAAAUCAACUCCAAAUGCAGCCAGGGGCAGCAAAGCAUAUACCAGCAGAGACUGAACGAAGAAGCCAAGAUCUUGAAGAAUCUCCAGCACCCCAACAUCGUAGGUUACCGUGCAUUUACAGAGGCCAGCGAUGGGAGCAUGUGCCUGGCGAUGGAGUACGGAGGAGAAAAGUCUCUUGAUUGCUUAAUUGAAGAAAGAAGAGCAAAACAUUUGGGCCCUUUCCCCGCCACCACCAUUUUCAAGGUUGCCUUGAGCAUGGCGAGGGGACUGAAGUAUCUUCACAAUGAUAAGAAGCUACUCCACGGAGACAUCAAGUCUUCAAACGUGGUCGUUAAAGGUGACUUUGAAUCCAUCAAGAUAUGUGACGUGGGAGUGUCGCUGCCUCUGGAUGAGAACAUGACCGUGAGCGACCCAGAGCUUUGCUAUAUCGGCACUGAGCCUUGGAAACCCAUGGAAGCUCUGCAGGAUGAUGGUGUCAUCACUGACAAGGCCGACAUCUUCCCUUUUGGGCUGACUCUCUGGGAAAUGAUGACCCUCUCCGUGCCCCACCUCAACCUGGGUGAUGAGUCUGAGGAUGAAGAUGAGUCCUUUGACGAAGACUGCUUUGACGAGGAAGCCUAUUAUGCAGCCCUGGGAACCCGCCCAGCCCUCAACAUGGAAGAACUUGACUCAUCAUACCAGCGCAUGAUCGACCUCUUUUCUGUCUGCACCAGCGAGGAUCCCAAGAAACGCCCCUCAGCUGCAUGCAUUGUGGAGGUCUUGGAGGCAGGUCUGAGCCAGGAGUGAAAGCAUUCGAGCUUCCACAACCGUGCUACAGAGCUCAGGGACAGCUCUUCCCAAGCCCUGCGGUGCAGUUGUGGGUCCUCAGGGAUUAGAUUUAGAAAGAGAGAAGCGUUGGGAGAUGCCUGUUUGCCCUCUUGGGUUCUGGAGACAUCAGGAACCAGGCACAACAGUCUAUGAGGGCCACAAAGAUGAUGCAGGGGUUAGAGCACUCAGAUCAUCUCCAUGGCCUACUCUGGACCUGCUCCAACAGAUCCAUGUCCUUCCAGUGCAGAGGACUCCAGAACUGGAUGCAGAGCUCCAGGUGGGAUCUCACCAGACAGAGCAGAGCAGAAGGGCAGAAUCCCCUGCCUGGCCCUGCUGGUCCCACUGCUUUGGAUGUAGCCCAGGACAUGGUUUGGAUUUCUGGGCUGUGAGCACCCAUUGCUGGUUCAUGUUGAGCUUCUCAUCCCCCAGCUCCUUCUCAGAGCUGCUCCAAAUCCAUUCUCCACCCAGCAUAUAUAUAUAUAUGUAUACACAUAUGUGUUUUUUCUGCACUAAGCACAAUUUCUCAUGGAAAAUCCAGUCUGUGUAGCUCUGUGUUCCAGUCAGACCCAGCACUUAGCAGCUUGGCCCACAUUUGUGUCCUAUUUUUAAGCAAUAUUUGUAUCUAAUAAUCAAUAUCAAGCAGACAUCUGUUAUUUUUAUAUCACUCUCAUAGGAAGUGGGGAUUCCAGACAUACUUAAUGGCACAAAUUUAUCCCUCUCCAUAAGUUCCUUCUAAGCACUCUUUGCUGC